rnacentral:rRNA from 1 species
GUCGAACGGUGAUGGCCAGCUUGCUGGUCUGAUCAGUGGCGAACGGGUGAGUAACACGUGAGCAACCUGCCCUUCACUCUGGGAUAACCACGGGAAACGGUGGCUAAUACCGGAUAUGAGAUGUGCCUGCAUGGGUGGCGUCUGGAAAGAUUUAUUGGUGAAGGAUGGGCUCGCGGCCUAUCAGCUUGUUGGUGGGGUAAUGGCCUACCAAGGCGACGACGGGUAGCCGGCCUGAGAGGGCGACCGGCCACACUGGGACUGAGACACGGCCCAGACUCCUACGGGAGGCAGCAGUGGGGAAUAUUGCACAAUGGGCGCAAGCCUGAUGCAGCGACGCCGCGUGAGGGAUGACGGCCUUCGGGUUGUAAACCUCUUUCAGCAGGGAAGAAGCGAGAGUGACGGUACCUGCAGAAGAAGCGCCGGCUAACUACGUGCCAGCAGCCGCGGUAAUACGUAGGGCGCAAGCGUUGUCCGGAAUUAUUGGGCGUAAAGAGCUCGUAGGCGGUUUGUCGCGUCUGCUGUGAAAACCUGAGGCUCAACCUCGGGCUUGCAGUGGGUACGGGCAGACUAGAGUGCGGUAGGGGUGACUGGAAUUCCUGGUGUAGCGGUGGAAUGCGCAGAUAUCAGGAGGAACACCGAUGGCGAAGGCAGGUCACUGGGCCGCAACUGACGCUGAGGAGCGAAAGCAUGGGGAGCGAACAGGAUUAGAUACCCUGGUAGUCCAUGCCGUAAACGUUGGGCACUAGGUGUGGGGCUCAUUCCACGAGUUCCGUGCCGCAGCAAACGCAUUAAGUGCCCCGCCUGGGGAGUACGGCCGCAAGGCUAAAACUCAAAGAAAUUGACGGGGGCCCGCACAAGCGGCGGAGCAUGCGGAUUAAUUCGAUGCAACGCGAAGAACCUUACCAAGGCUUGACAUACACCGGAAACUUCCAGAGAUGGUUGCCCCGCAAGGUCGGUGUACAGGUGGUGCAUGGUUGUCGUCAGCUCGUGUCGUGA